CAUUUUAUGAGUAUAGCAGACAGCGCACUAGUCUGCUAUACUAGAGAUCCCGGGUUCAAUCCCCGGCAGAAUCA
rnacentral:tRNA from 1 species